rnacentral:rRNA from 1 species
UACGAAGGGGGCUAGCGUUGCUCGGAAUCACUGGGCGUAAAGGGUGCGUAGGCGGGUCUUUAAGUCAGGGGUGAAAUCCUGGAGCUCAACUCCAGAACUGCCUUUGAUACUGAGGAUCUUGAGUCCGGGAGAGGUGAGUGGAACUGCGAGUGUAGAGGUGAAAUUCGUAGAUAUUCGCAAGAACACCAGUGGCGAAGGCGGCUCACUGGCCCGGUACUGGCGCUGAGGCACGAAAGCGUGGGGAGCAAACAGG